rnacentral:rRNA from 1 species
CCUACGGGGGGCAGCAGUGAGGAAUAUUGGUCAAUGGGCGGGAGCCUGAACCAGCCAAGUCGCGUGAGGGAAGACGGUCCUAUGGAUUGUAAACUUCUUUUAUAUGGGAAUAAAAUGUUCCACGUGUGGGAUUUUGUAUGUACCAUAUGAAUAAGGAUCGGCUAACUCCGUGCCAGCAGCCGCGGUAAUACGGAGGAUCCGAGCGUUAUCCGGAUUUAUUGGGUUUAAAGGGAGCGUAGGUGGAUUGUUAAGUCAGUUGUGAAAGUUUGCGGCUCAACCGUAAAAUUGCAGUUGAAACUGGCAGUCUUGAGUACAGUAGAGGUGGGCGGAAUUCGUGGUGUAGCGGUGAAAUGCUUAGAUAUCACGAAGAACUCCGAUUGCGAAGGCAGCUCACUGGACUGCAACUGACACUGAGGCUCGAAAGUGUGGGUAUCAAACAGGAUUAGAUACCCCAGUAGUC